rnacentral:rRNA from 1 species
UACGUAGGUGGCAAGCGUUGUCCGGAUUUAUUGGGUUUAAAGGGUGCGUAGGCGGCCCUGUAAGUCAGUGCUGAAAUAUCCCAGCUUAACUGGGAGGGUGGCAUUGAUACUGCGGGGCUAGAGUACAGAUGAGGUAGGCGGAAUUGACGGUGUAGCGGUGAAAUGCUUAGAUAUCGUCAAGAACACCUAUAGCGAAGGCAGCUUACUAGGCUGUAACUGACGCUGAGGCACGAAAGCGUGGGGAGCAAACAGG